rnacentral:pre_miRNA from 1 species
GAGACACCCUUAUGGAGCAGGACUUGCUUGAGUGGGGCUUUGGUGCUUACUGAGUCUGCAUCCUGAGUGUUUCUCU